rnacentral:rRNA from 1 species
GGUCGGACAUCAGGAGGUUAGUGCAAUGGCAUAAGCCAGCUUGACUGCGAGCGUGACGGCGCGAGCAGGUGCGAAAGCAGGUCAUAGUGAUCCGGUGGUUCUGAAUGGAAGGGCCAUCGCUCAACGGAUAAAAGGUACUCCGGGGAUAACAGGCUGAUACCGCCCAAGAGUUCAUAUCGACGGCGGUGUUUGGCACCUCGAUGUCGGCUCAUCACAUCCUGGGGCUGAAGUAGGUCCCAAGGGUAUGGCUGUUCGCCAUUUAAAGUGGUACGCGAGCUGGGUUUAGAACGUCGUGAGACAGUUCGGUCCCUAUCUGCCGUGGGCGCUGGAGAACUGAGGGGGGCUGCUCCUAGUACGAGAGGACCGGAGUGGACGCAUCACUGGUGUUCGGGUUGUCAUGCCAAUGGCACUGCCCGGUAGCUAAAUGCGGAAGAGAUAAGUGCUGAAAGCAUCUAAGCACGAAACUUGCCCCGAGAUGAGUUCUCCCUGACCCUUUAAGGGUCCUGAAGGAACGUUGAAGACGACGACGUUGAUAGGCCGGGUGUGUAAGCGCAGCGAUGCGUUGAGCUAAC